rnacentral:rRNA from 1 species
GACGAACGCUGGCGGCGUGCUUAACACAUGCAAGUCGAACGGUGAAGCGCUUGCCUUUUUGGUGGGUGUGGAUGAGUGGCGAACGGGUGAGUAACACGUGAGUAACCUGCCCUCUUCUUCUGGAUAACCUCAUGAAAGUGGGGCUAACACGGGGUAUUCCGGGUCUGUCGCAUGGCGGGUUUGGGAAAGAUUGCGCCUUUGGGUGUUUUCGGUGGGGGAUGGGCUCGCGGCCUAUCAGCUUGUUGGUGGGGUGAUGGCCUACCAAGGCGGUGACGGGUAGCCGGCCUGAGAGGGUGGACGGCCACACUGGGACUGAGACUCGGCCCAGACUCCUGCGGGAGGCAGCAGUGGGGAAUAUUGCGCAAUGGGCGCAAGCCUGAUGCAGCGACGCCGCGUGAGGGAUGGAGGCCGUCGGGUUGUGAACCUCUUUCGCCAGUGAAGCAGGCCUGCUCCUGUGUGGGUGGGUUGACGGUAGCUGGAUAAGAAGCGCCGGCUAACUACGUG